rnacentral:rRNA from 1 species
CAGCAGCCACGGGAAUACGUAGGGUGCAAGCGUUAAUCGGAGUUACUGGGCGUAAAGCGUGCGCAGGCGGUUUGUUAAGACAGAUGUGAAAUCCCCGGGCUCAACCUGGGAACUGCAUUUGUGACUGGCAAGCUAGAGUAUGGCAGAGGGGGGUGGAAUUCCGCGUGUAGCAGUGAAAUGCGUAGAUAUGCGGAGGAACACCGAUGGCGAAGGCAACCCCCUGGGCCAAUACUGACGCUCAUGCACGAAAGCGUGGGGAGCAAACAGGAUUAGAGACCCCUGUAGUCCCUGUCUCUUAUAC